GCCUGCUUCCGCGUCAACGACGUGCUUGCUGAGGAAUUCGUGGACCUAGUGGCGACAGGAAAACUACCACAGGGACGUUUAGUGUCUCGGACUCGCUAAGUUCCAGUCGAAGAAAACGUUAAAAUAAAAGAUACAUGAAAUGGACACAUAUUGUCACCAGAUGGCAUUAAAGACCAGUAAUCCGUCAAAUUUUGUGAGUGACGUGGAAGUGAAGUGAGAAUAUGAUGUAAGAACCAAGGGCGGGGCGACGACAGAUCCAAAAUACGAUUUAUUAAGAAUCCUUGGCGAGAGUGCCAGGAAGGACGAAGCUGAAACUGAUGGCCUCCUAAACUUUCCAAAUUCCCAGCGCCUUUCCCGCUUAGACCAGAUUAAUAAAGCAGUGACCUUGUGUGGCUUUGAACUGACCUUUAUCAUCUGUGCCGACCAUGGAGAAGCGGUCGAACCCUGGGAGGUCCCGAUGCAUGCCCAUCCCGAAGCCAUUCUUCGUCCACUGCAAGUGACCGACCUUGUUGGCCACCCUAAAGGAUUAGUGGACGGAUGAGAAGGAAAUCGGGUUAGAAGGAAACGGGACGAGGAACAAAAGGACAAAAUUCACUUUCAGAAACAAGGAAAUGUAGCUGAGUCAGGACGUAAGAUCAUUAAAGGAGAUGGACUCAAUGAUGCAAAGAUAAAUACAUGAAUAUAUAUGU